AGCAGCCGCGGUAAUUCCAGCUCCAAUAGCGUAUAUUAAAGUUGCUGCAGUUAAAAAGCUCGUAGUUGAAUUUCGGGAUCAAUAUGUUGGUCGUGCCUCGGUACGUACUAGCAUAUUGGUUUCUCCUUUCUGAAGAACCAUGAUGUCAUUUAUUUGGUGUCGUGGGGAAUCAGGACUGUUACUUUGAAAAAUUAGAGUGUUUAAAGCAGGCUCACGCUUGAAUACAUUAGCAUGGAAUAAUGAAAUAGGACGUUUGAUUCUAUUUUGUUGGUUUCUAGGAUCGACGUAAUGAUUAAUAGGGAUAGUUGGGGGCAUUAGUAUUCAAUUGUCAGAGGUGAAAUUCUUGGUAUUUAUUGAAGACUAACUACUGCGAAAGCAUUUGCCAAGGAUGUUUUCAUUAAUCAAGAACGAAAGUUAGGGGAGU
rnacentral:rRNA from 1 species